UAAAGUCUGGGAAUCUGGCCGAAGGAGGGGGAUAACUGCUGGAAACGGCAGCUAAUACCGCAUGAAGUCGCGAGACCAAAGUGGGGGACCUUCGGGCCUCACGCCUUCGGAUGAGCCCAGAUGAGAUUAGCUGGUAGGUAAGGUAAAGGCUUACCUAGGCGACGAUCUCUAGCGGGUCCGAGAGGAUAGCCCGCCACACUGGAACUGAGACACGGUCCAGACUCCUACGGGAGGCAGCAGUGGGGAAUAUUGCACAAUGGGCGAAAGCCUGAUGCAGCCAUGCCACGUGUGUGAAGAAGGCCUUCGGGUUGUAAAGCACUUUCAGCGAGGAGGAAGCGAUAAAUGCGAAUACCAUUUAUUUUUGACGUUACUCGCAGAAGAAGCACCGGCUAACUCCGUGCCAGCAGCCGCGGUAAUACGGAGGGUGCGAGCGUUAAUCGGAAUAACUGGGCGUAAAGGGCAUGUAGGCGGCGAGUUAAGUCAGAUGUGAAAUCCCCGAGCUCAACUUGGGAAUGGCAUUUGAAACUGGGUCGCUAGAGUUUUCUAGAGGGGGGUAGAAUUCCAGGUGUAGCGGUGA
rnacentral:rRNA from 1 species